rnacentral:piRNA from 1 species
UAAAGGUCACUUAUCAGAUUAUUUAUAAAU